rnacentral:rRNA from 1 species
GCAGUCGAACGAAGCUUGAUUACGGAUUCUUCGGAUGAAGUAUGAUAUCACUGAGUGGCGGACGGGUGAGUAACGCGUGAGUAACCUGCCCUUCAGAGGGGGAUAGCGUUUGGAAACGAACGGUAAUACCGCAUAAUGUAUUUUGACCGCAUGAUCGAAAUACCAAAGAUUUAUCGCUGAAGGAUGGACUCGCGUCUGAUUAGGUAGUUGGUGGGGUAACGGCCUACCAAGCCGACGAUCAGUAGCCGGACUGAGAGGUUGAUCGGCCACAUUGGGACUGAGACACGGCCCAGACUCCUACGGGAGGCAGCAGUGGGGAAUAUUGCACAAUGGGCGCAAGCCUGAUGCAGCAACGCCGCGUGAAGGAAGACGGUUUUCGGAUUGUAAACUUCUGUUCUUAGUGAAGAAUAAUGACGGUAGCUAAGGAGCAAGCCACGGCUAACUACGUGCCAGCAGCCGCGGUAAUACGUAGGUGGCAAGCGUUGUCCGGAAUUACUGGGUGUAAAGGGAGCGCAGGCGGGUGAUCAAGUCAGCUGUGAAAACUACGGGCUUAACCCGUAGACUGCAGUUGAAACUGUUCAUCUUGAGUGAAGUAGAGGUUGGCGGAAUUCCGAGUGUAGCGGUGAAAUGCGUAGAUAUUCGGAGGAACACCGGUGGCGAAGGCGGCCAACUGGGCUUUAACUGACGCUGAGGCUCGAAAGUGUGGGGAGCAAACAGGAUUAGAUACCCUGGUAGUCCACACUGUAAACGAUGAUUGCUAGGUGUGGGGGGUCUGACCCCUUCCGUGCCGGAGCUAACGCAAUAAGCAAUCCACCUGGGGAGUACGACCGCAAGGUU